AUUGAACGCUGGCGGCAUGCCUUACACAUGCAAGUCGAACGGCAGCGGGCCUUCGGGUGCCGGCGAGUGGCGAACGGGUGAGUAAUGCAUCGGAACGUGCCAUUGAGUGGGGGAUAACGUAGCGAAGGUUACGCUAAUACCGCAUAUUCUGUGAGCAGGAAAGCAGGGGACCGCAAGGCCUUGCGCUCUUUGAGCGGCCGAUGUCAGAUUAGCUAGUUGGUGAGGUAAAGGCUUACCAAGGCGACGAUCUGUAGCGGGUCUGAGAGGAUGAUCCGCCACACUGGAACUGAGACACGGUCCAGACUCCUACGGGAGGCAGCAGUGGGGAAUUUUGGACAAUGGGCGCAAGCCUGAUCCAGCCAUGCCGCGUGAGUGAAGAAGGCC
rnacentral:rRNA from 1 species